AAGAAUUUAUUUCUUGUAGUAGGCAUUGACUUUUAGGCUUAGUUCUUUAGAACAACCGUGUCGGUUACAGUUCAGUUUCUUGCCUCGGCCAAAAUUACAACUUAAAAUUUUUAGUAACAAAAUUUACGAUUUUAUUCUCUGCUACACCGCACAAAAUCGAAAUCGCAAAAAAAAUAAUAAUAAAAAAUAAAGUCAUUCAGCGUUUCGCAAAAUGGCAGCGGACCGGAGCUUAAUAUACAUGUUUGAAUUUGUGGUUGAUGACUUGCUGAUAACGAAACAGAACUUGUGCGCGCCGGAGGAAUAUCCGACCUGUGUUGAGAUCACAUUUCGCUCAAGCGUUUUCGUCAGCGUCUGCGAUCGCGAGUACGGAUCAUGUGUGAAUCCAAAUCAGCCGAAAUGUGGCAAGUGUUGCAUAUUUGCGCUGGAGUCGCCGGUCACCGAUAAGGAUCGCCUAUUGAUCCAUGUGUAUAAGAAGCGAACGAAUCGCUGCAAGUUUCUUAUUGGUUUAACUGAACUGCCGUUGAAGCCAAUAUUCGAUCGCGUCAAGGAAUCCUUUGAUAUUGAGAAUCCCAAUUGGGAAAAGAUAUGGAAAGAGCAACUGCAGAUGUUGCCAAGAAUGAAGGGACAAAACAAGGAUGUUAUGGAUAAUUGCGCUUGCUACGAUCCCGGAAAUGAGAGACGCGAGCAAUUGUGUCCCACAUCCGAGUUAACCAAGCGUCUGCUGCCACUCUUCAAUCUUUGCAAGCAACAGACCGGCAACAUGGUCCUCAUCAUGCGAUUGCUUUGCAAUGGACCGGCUAUUGUGUCUACCUUCUCACUCAAUCGCCCAGUCUGCUCCCGUAAUCCAAAGUGCCCGGAUCCCUGUUGUCCGCCACCACCAUGUCCACAGCCCUGCCCACCCUGUCCAUCUUGUGGCCCGUGCGAGCCUUGCCCAGGAGAUCCCUGUUGUGGCGGCAACACCAGCGCCACAGGUGGUCCUAUGGACACUGGCAAGAAGUGUCGUGGUGGUUGUCAACCCUGCCCACUUCCACAGUGCACCAUGCCUGAUCCUUGCGCUAAAGAUGAUGCAAAUAAAUUGCCGAAAUGCUUGCGCUAUUUCAGCUGCAACCUGGACAAAUUGUGCCCCUGUGAAUAUUGUGAGGAUGAGUUUGAUCGUGAGUGUCCCACUGUGCCCUCAAAGCGUUGCAAGUCGGUCAUUGAGCAGCGCCUAGAACCUUGUGGUCCCUGUGGUGGCGUGCCUGCUUAUCCACGUUGGGUACAGGACAAGAAGGCUAAGGAGCAGGCGGAUACGAAAGCCGAAAAGAAGCAACAGGAAAAGGAAAAGAAGGAAGGCAAGGAAGGUAAAGAAGGCAAGGGUGGCAAGAAACGUCAAGCGGGCGGCAGCUGUUUCUGUGAAACAUCCAAUUUAACCCCCUCGGAAGAAUAUGCCGAUCCCUGCGGUCAUUGCUGUCCCGAAUACGCGAGUUGUUGCGACCUAGCACGCAAUCGAGCUAUACGGAAAUUGCGCCAUUUAAUGGUUAAAUACAAUAUCCAAGUUGACUAACGCGAUCCGUACUCAAGUCCAAUUUACAUGAUCAUAUAACGCAUAUUCAAACUGGCCAAUAAGUAGAGGAGAAAGAACUAAAAAGGGCCAAGAUGGAACAAUCUAUAUUUAAGUGACCAAAAGUGAUCGACGAUUGUGACGAGUGUGAAGAGUGUUGUCGUUUCCAAAUGCCAAUGCGAUUGCGUCUGCAGUUUGUGUUUUGAUUAAUCAACGUGUUGAGAUCCCUAUCCAGGACCACAAGAGAAUGACAACGAACAGGAAAAGAUGUCGAGAGGGGAUUGUAAAGUUGUGGGAAGUUGGCAUCCGAUCUACGACCGUGAAUAUUGUCAGCCUGGAGGAUUGCGAUUACAAUAAAUACCUUAACAAUAUGCUGCAGCGCAGCGUUUUGGCCAACUUAUCUGCAUUUGUUUUGGUCUUUGCUAUUGUUCUUUUUAGUUCUUUUCUUUUACUUGCAACAAAUUCUCCAAUUUUCAA